rnacentral:rRNA from 1 species
UGGGGAAUAUUGCACAAUGGGCGCAAGCCUGAUGCAGCCAUGCCGCGUGUAUGAAGAAGGCCUUCGGGUUGUAAAGUACUUUCAGCGGGGAGGAAGGGAGUAAAGUUAAUACCUUUGCUCAUUGACGUUACCCGCAGAAGAAGCACCGGCUAACUCCGUGCCAGCAGCCUCGGUAAUACGGAGGGUGCAAGCGUUAAUCGGAAUUACUGGGCGUAAAGCGCACGCAGGCGGUUUGUUAAGUCAGAUGUGAAAUCCCCGGGCUCAAACUGGGAACUGCAUCUGAUACUGGCAAGCUUGAGUCUCGUAGAGGGGGGUAGAAUUCCAGGUGUAGCGGUGAAAUGCGUAGAGAUCUGGAGGAAUACCGGUGGCGAAGGCGGCCCCCUGGACGAAGACUGACGCUCAGGUGCGAAAGCGUGGGGAGCAAACAGG